GAGCUGAAUGAAGUCACAGAGGGGUCUAAUGAAUGCCAGAGCCUCUGAGAAGAAAAGAAUGGAAGCUGAAUCUUCUCAUUUCAUUAGCAGCAAGUCUCCAGAUGGUGUCAUGGUGUUUCAGAGACCAAAAGGAGGUGCUUUCAAAUACAGCCUUUAAUCUGGAGGAAAUAUAUGUCCAGUUUGUAGCCCUCAUCGCUUCUACAGUGGCUAAUGUUGCAGCUUCCAGGCAGCCUCAGUCCCACUGUGAAACAUCUCAGAAAACACAACAUUUUGGAAGGACCCUGAGAACGGCUAUGACAACAUUCUGCAAGAUGUGAAAUUUGGUAGACUGCCUGCUUCCAGGGAUCC